rnacentral:rRNA from 1 species
UCUUUUCCUUUUUUGCCCGCCGCCGCGGUAAUACGGAAGGUCCGGGCGUUAUCCGGAUUUAUUGGGUUUAAAGGGAGCGUAGGCCGGAGAUUAAGCGUGUUGUGAAAUGUAGAUGCUCAACAUCUGCACUGCAGCGCGAACUGGUUUCCUUGAGUACGCACAAAGUGGGCGGAAUUCGUGGUGUAGCGGUGAAAUGCUUAGAUAUCACGAAGAACUCCGAUUGCGAAGGCAGCUCACUGGAGCGCAACUGACGCUGAAGCUCGAAAGUGCGGGUAUCGAACAGG